ACUUGCUAAGCCCUACUGCCAACACCUGCCCAAAGUCAGUUCAAAUUUUGUGGAAAAAUACAACUGCAAUGGGCAAUUUUGUGUGUCUGUGUGUGAGUGUGU